AGUAUCAUUAACUGAAUACAUAGGUUAAUGAAGCGAACCGGGGGAACUGAAACAUCUAAGUACCCCGAGGAAGAGAAAUCAACCGAGAUUCCGGUAGUAGCGGCGAGCGAAACCGGAUUAGCCCUUAAGCUAGUUCUGCGUUAGGUGAAUGUGCUGGAAAGCACAGCGAUACAGGGUGAUAGCCCCGUAACCAAAAAUGCAUUAAUAGUGAAAUCGAGUAGGACGGGACACGUGAUAUCCUGUUUGAACAUGGGGGGACCAUCCUCCAAGGCUAAAUACUCCUGACUGACCGAUAGUGAACCAGUACCGUGAGGGAAAGGCGAAAAGAACCCCUGUGAGGGGAGUGAAAUAGAACCUGAAACCGUGUACGUACAAGCAGUAGGAGCCCACUUGUUGGGUGACUGCGUACCUUUUGUAUAAUGGGUCAGCGACUUAAUUUUAGUAGCAAGGUUAACCGUUUAGGGGAGCCGUAGGGAAACCGAGUCUUAACUGGGCGUCAUAGUUGCUAGGAUUAGACCCGAAACCGAGUGAUCUAGCCAUGGGCAGGUUGAAGGUGAGGUAACACUUACUGGAGGACCGAACCGACUAAUGUUGAAAAAUUAGCGGAUGACUUGUGGCUAGGGGUGAAAGGCCAAUCAAACUCGGAGAUAGCUGGUUCUCCCCGAAAGCUAUUUAGGUAGCGCCUCGGACGAAUACUACUGGGGGUAGAGCACUGUUAAGGCUAGGGGGUCAUCCCGACUUACCAACCCUUUGCAAACUCCGAAUACCAGUAAGUAAUAUCCGGGAGACACACGGCGGGUGCUAACGUCCGUCGUGAAGAGGGAAACAACCCAGACCGCCAGCUAAGGUCCCAAAGUUAUAGCUAAGUGGGAAACGAUGUGGGAAGGCUCAGACAGC
rnacentral:rRNA from 1 species